AUGUCAUUACUCUAAAGAAGUUUUUAUAUUUGAUCUAACUCAAAAAAAUACAUUUUCUGUCCAGCCAUCAGUUUUAUGUAAAAAAUGUGUUUGAUUUAAAUUAAAAGUAAGUCCUGUUGGUGUAAAGUAAAUAAAUUUCUGUAAAUUAAAGUAAAAAUAUUAGUUUCCAUUGUCACGUGACUUACGUAACGUCAUCCUGGUCGUGCGUGAGGACGUUCAGCUGAAGUUCAGCUUUCCGCCAUCUUGUUAUACACUGCACCGAUGGAUGAACUCCGCGUCGUACAAUGGGAUUCAAGAAAAUUGGCCAAUCAUAUCCCAUCCCUGGAGAGACAUCAGCAAACAUUAUGACAAAGACGUUUGCCUUACGCAGACAAGAGAUUGUGGAAAACCAACCUACUGUUCAAGAACUGCAAGAAAGAUUGCCAGAGGAGAUUAAUGCAGAAUUGCGCAUCACGAUCUUACCUUGAAAAUCAAGAUUUAUGGCCUCUUUAGACAGACAGAGCUCUCAUGUUAUUAGGAGCAACGGUGGAGUCCUCCAUGAAAAACUAAGGACACUAUUAAAGUUAUGGAUCAGAGUCUGGACGUAGAAAUCAGAAGAGAAAGCCUGCUGAAGUGCCUGAUUCAUGUACGAUUCAUGUGAAGAUGCAAGCUGUCUGAUCAAAGAAUACCAGGCUGACAAGAGGGAAGAAGCGGAGAGGGAAUUCAAAAAGACCACCAUGGAAUUUUUUGUGAUCCGUGAAAGUGAUGCUCCUAAUCCUGCACUGGACAUUUUCAUUGAUGAUGUGGAGUAAUAAAUGAGUUGCCCUCUGUUGCAUGUGCAUGUUUGGACUCAUUUGAACUGAACUUAAAAUAUCCUAAUGGACUCAAAUAUACCUUUAAAGCCUUUCAAAAAAAAAUGUCAUGGACGUAGACAGUAAGCAGAUGAGCCGAAGGGUGCAGAACCCCUCUUCAAAACUGCAGGAGUAAAUUUGUUUCCUUUGACCCAGCUACUGAAGGUACAUUUUUGAGCCUUUUAUACAACAUUAACUGUAAUACUGUUUACUAAACCUGAUUUGUUUUAUCUAUCAACCAUAACUGAUUCUUAUUUAGAAUUUACAUUUUAUCCAGUGUGUCUACAAAUACUAAAAACUGUUAUACAGUAUGUGUUUUUAUAACAAUACUAUACAUAUUGUUGAAAUGUUUUAUGACAAAUUGUCAAGAUUAUAAUGUGUUGACACUGUUAGACAGUGUGUAUUUGUACAAAAAAUGUAUAUUAUGACAAAAUAAAUUGUCAAAAGUUUGAUGCUUGAAGUCAUUCAUCUUAGACAGAUGGUAAAAUUACACAUUCUGAAAGUAAAUAAAUUUCUUUAUAUUAAAUUAAUAUUUUAAAUUGUAUUUGGUUAGAUGUAAAGUAAAAAUUUUGCGUCAACUUGUUGAAUCA